GGGUUGGCCUGAGUUUUUAAAUGAACCACAGUGCUGGCCCGUGGCCCUGUGACUUCAACAGGGGGAUGUUCUUUUCCCAAUGGAGUAUGAUGUGUGUAUCUGCUUCUUCCCCUUCUCUUCCAUAAGGAGACAGCUUCGGCUAGAAUAAGGCCUCCGUGGCAGGACUGUCUUCCCUACUCCAAGAACGGGAUACAACUAGCCUCUAGACUUCUCCAGGGAUGUUGGAUGAGCACUUCAAUGCCCGAUUCCAUCUCUGCCCUGUCUACCUGGAAACCCUACUUGGCUGUGUCAAGAGAUGAAAGCCACGCUAUCACCCGCCAGCUGCUCCAUCCACACUGGGCACUGGAAUCAUAACCAGACCCAAUGUUUGCCUUUCGCCUCCUACCUGAGAGAAGACAGGCAGUGUGUUCUGCAUGGAAGGCUAUGCCCAGAAUCUCUUCACUGUGUACCAGCUGGACAAGCAUAAUUGAGGGAGGUUCAGCUGGAAAGGCCAGCAGUGGAAUCCAGUGGCGAGCCUGGCAUUCUGUGCUGUGUGCUGCUCAUUCACCAGAGCCUUGUCUACAGCACCACUGACUCUGAACGGGGGCAGCAGCACACAGGUUCUCUCCAGUCUCAGAAACACAAGGGCCUGCCCCGAAGGUCAGGAGCAGCAUCCACACUUAGGGAGAGAGCACCUGUCAGGCAAGUUAUCACUGCUUCCGGUUUCGUGGAACUAUUCCAAUGUAGCCAGGUCCCUCUGGAGUCCAGAAGAGAGAUCCUCUUGUUUAUUGAAUCUGGCAUUCUCUGAUAUUUUUGGUCUGGCAAACCUCACCGCUAGAUAAAUGUAUAUACUCUCCCUGAACAAAGUUUCAGCUUCUUUUAGAGAAAGAAAAAAUAUGUUCUCUAUAAACAGACUGUAUAAAGGACAACAAAAGGACUUGGGAGACUGGUUAAGCAAGACCUAUGCCUCUGAUACUAUUCACUUUUUUCUAGUAAUUCCAGCAGCAUCUAGAACUAGAAUGAAGUAGUUAGAAGUUCCUCGUGAGCUUCCCAGGUCUCUGCUCUGAGCUUGCCAGGGGUCCAGAGGCCAGUCCCAUGUCACAGUGUUGAAACUUCACAAGCUACUAAUAUACCUUCUAAUCUCCCAUUUUAUAGCCAAGAAAUUGGGCCCAAAGAGAUUUGUCCAGAAGCAUUCAAUCAGCACCCCACACACAGACCUACAGCCCAGGUAUCCUGAGUUUCAGCCCUACAUCUACCAGACCCAUUCCGAAUCCUGGUUUCUUAACCCAGAAAGGAUGACUACAAAUGCAAACCCAGCACACAGUGCUAAAGAUGCCCAGUGGACCCGAGCUCUGUCUGCCUGCAGUUCCUCCAGGCUCAGCUCAGAGGUGUUAUCUUACCAGAUGCACGCUUUGGAGAUGGAAGACGAGGCAACUUAAAGUAGAGUGGUGGCUUCUUAUACAGGUCAAAAUCCAGGUGGCGCUGGCUCCAGCUCCACCUAUCCCGAUCCAACACAGGCUUCAGCACAUUAGUAAACAGUGCGUUUUCCUGCCACUCCUAAAGAAGAGCAGCAAGUGAGUAAGACGGAAGGACAUCCCGAAGCACCCCCGACUUGAGGCCCUGCUCCUCCCUGAAGACCUCAUUUAGCUCUCUGAUGGGUGGCAGUUUAAGAUCCUGCUGGCUGCUUCCAGUGCUGCUCUGAAGACCCCAUACUUGGAACCCACCGGCUGUGAGCCAGGCCUGGCGGGACUUCUUCUGGGCUUUCUUCUCCUCUUCCUUUGGGUCCUGAAAAUCCACCAUAGCUGAGAG
rnacentral:lncRNA from 1 species